GAGGGAAUCUUCCGCAAUGGACGAAAGUCUGACGGAGCAACGCCGCGUGAGUGAAGAAGGAUUUCGGUUCGUAAAACUCUGUUGGGAGGGAAGAAAAAAUGUAUAGUAACUAUAUACAAAAGAGACGGUACCUAACCAGAAAGCCACGGCUAACUACGUGCCAGCAGCCGCGGUAAUACGUAGGUGGCAAGCGUUGUCCGGAAUUAUUGGGCGUAAAGCGCGCGCAGGUGGUUUAGAAAGUCUGAUGUGAAAGCCCACGGCUCAACCGUGGAGGGUCAUUGGAAACUAAUAAACUUGAGUGCAGGAGAGAAAAGUGGAUUUCCUGGUGUAGCGGUGAAAUGCGUGGAGAUUAGGAGGAACACCGGUGGCGAGAGCGGCUUUUUGGCCUGCAACUGACACUGCGGCGCGAAAGCGUGGGGAGCAAACAGG
rnacentral:rRNA from 1 species